GGGACGGUAGCUCAUGGGUCGAGCGGCAGCGGCCAACCGUUGCAGGCAGGCAGGUUCAAGUCCUGUACGUCCCACCA
rnacentral:tRNA from 1 species